rnacentral:misc_RNA from 1 species
AUGGGGAAGACGUACAUCCUUGCCAGUACUGAUCCCAGCCUUAGACUGUUUGAAUCCGGCGUAUUGCAUUAUGUUUACAUAGGUUAGCAAAUAACUAAUGCUGCUGUAAAAUGCCAGUUCGGAGAGGUCACAAUGUUCCUCAGAAUACUUUUGUAGACAUUAUUAUCAGAAAGUUUGACAGUCUUAAUAGAAGGUUCGUUUUAGCCAAUGCCCAGUUGGAAGAUUAUCCAAUUAUUUAUUGUAACGAUGGGUUCACUGAGCUGAUGGGCUACACGAGAGCAGAGGUUAUGCAGCGAUCGUGUAUGUGCGAGUUUCUACAUGGACCCCUUACCAAUCAGUACGCGGUCGCCAAUAUCGAGAAGGCACUGUCUACCUACGAAGAAUGUCAAGUGGAAAUAGUAUAUUACAAAAAAGGCGGCUCGAAGGUUUUAUGCAGCCAAGUGAUGGCACCGAUUCGUAAUGAAGAAGGAGCAACUUGUAUGUUCAUCAUUAAUUUUGAAGAUGUUACAAACGCCCCCUAUCGCGAAGAGCAACCGGAAAUCGGAUAUUCACUUCGGGAAUCUCGUCAACCAACUACAAAAAUGCUCCAUCAUGUUGAAGUGUCUAGCUCAAUGGUGAGUCCUGAAAACGAGGCUAGUGCUAUGGAAAUAAUCUCGUCAAGUUCCGCAAUGGACUGGAAUAAGGUUUCAACACAUCAUAUUAAGAAAACAAGAAGUUUGGAGAUUAGUAUUUUAUCGUUACUACACGGCUGUAACAUCCCAUCACUGACCAGAACUAGUGCUAUGCCCUCUUUGACUUCAUUGGAAGCUGUUCAGGAAAUGCACGAGGCCUUUAAGGUUUCGCCAUUUGCUACAGCUACAGUAAACAAUCGAAGCAAAUCCCUCCCAAUUGCUUCUUCUGAUUCGAAUCUGUCACUUUACAGAAUUCAUAAACAAUGUGUUGUACCACCAUCACUAAGCAGCUUGAAAACAGAGGGCGCCAGCAGACAGAAGGAUACUCGAUCGUCCAACACGUCCAAGUUUUUACAAGAGAUGCAAACUCAUAGCAAACGCUAUGUUGGCGAGAAGGUUGCGAAGGUGCUGUCGUUGAGCGCUGAUGUUCUUCCAGAGCACAAGCUUCAGAAGCCCAGAAUCAACAAAUGGACUAUCCUUCACUACUCUCCUUUUAAGGCCUUUUGGGACUGGAUAAUACUCUUGUUAGUCAUUUACACCGCCAUCUUCACACCUUACGUUGCAGCGUUCUUGCUGAAUGAGAACAGGACCAAGCGUAACAAGAAUUACGGCGACGACCCUAUCGUCAUUAUCGACCUUUUAGUCGACGUCAUGUUUAUCAUCGAUAUACUCAUCAAUUUUCGGACAACUUAUGUCAACUCAAAUGAAGAAGUCGUCAGCCAUCCAGGUCGGAUUGCUGUCCACUACCUUCGAGGUUGGUUUAUUAUUGACAUCGUGGCAGCAAUUCCUUUUGACUUGCUGCUUUUCGGCUCCGAGACUGACGAGACCACAACUCUGACUGGUCUGCUGAAAACAGCUCGACUACUAAGAUUGGUGAGAGUGGCUAGAAAAAUCGACCGCUACUCAGAGUAUGGAGCAGCUGUACUGCUUUUGCUCAUGGCUACUUUCGCGCUAAUUGCUCAUUGGCUCGCCUGCAUCUGGUAUGCCAUUGGCAACGCCGAGCGCCCUCUUCUAACCCACAAGAUAGGCUGGCUUGACCACCUGGCUAAUGCCACCCACCAAUUCUACAACAACUCAAAUGGAGGACCAAGCAUCAAAGCCAAGUAUGUGACUGCAUUGUACUUCACAUUCAGUAGCCUGACAAGUGUGGGUUUUGGCAACGUCUCUCCAAACACAAACAUGGAAAAGAUCUUCGCCGUCCUUAUUAUGCUCAUCGGAUCUCUAAUGUAUGCCAGUAUUUUUGGUAAUGUAUCUGCCAUCAUCCAGAGAUUGUACUCUGGAACCGCUCGUUACCACACUCAGUUACUCCGGGUGAAGGAGUUUAUUCGGUUUCAUCAGAUUCCAAACCCACUUCGACAGAGGUUGGAAGAAUACUUUCAGCACGCCUGGACUUACUCUAAUGGUAUCGACAUGAAUAUGGUGCUGAAGGGGUUUCCAGACUGUCUUCAAGCUGACAUAUGCCUUCACUUGAACAGACAACUCUUAGAAAAUACCCCACCAUUUAAUAGUGUAAGUCCUGGAUGUUUGAGGGCGUUCUCCAUGAAAUUCAAAACAACACAUGCUCCACCUGGUGACACGCUAGUACAUCGUGGAGAUGUUCUGGCAGCUCUUUAUUUUAUUGCAAGGGGAACAAUUGAAAUUUUAAAAGAUGAUAUAGUAAUGGCAAUAUUAGGGAAGAGCGAUGUGUUUGGAGAGAACCCUUGCAUCCAUCAAACAGUAGGAAAGUCCAGUUGUAAUGUCCGUGCCUUGACCUACUGCGAUCUCCAUAAAGUCCUCCGGGAAGAUCUUCUGGACGUUCUGGAGCGCUAUCCAGAAUUCUACGAUUCUUUUAAAAGUAACAUGGAUAUCACGUUCAACCUCCGAGAUGAUGAACAAGUAGCGGUUGACCCAGAUAUAUUUAGAGGAAGAUUUGCUUAUGGCCAAGUAAAAACGCCCGAUGAAGUGGAGGAUCCGCGUGUUGUGGCUUACCAAUAUCCUCGACCCAGAAAGCGGAAAAAAGCUUCUCAUAUUCAAUCAUCUGAAUGUAUCACAGAACUAAUUGAUGAGGUACAUAAUAGGAGAUACAGUGGAACGGGAAUCUUAGAGUUUUCGCCACAAAAAGCAGGUCAAGACAUAACCUCUGCAAACCUAGAAUUUGAUAAUCGGUCUAAUAAGCGACGUAGUACACUUCAAUCACUUUUCGCAGGUGGUGCUAUGUCAAGCGUAACAAAUUUAACUAGAGCGAUUUUAGGUGGUGCCAAUGAGACGAUCACUGACCGGUCUCGCUCUGGGAGUCUUACCAUGAGGUUAGAAGAAAGAACAGAGAAUGGAAACACUGCCUUUAGACCAGAGUCAAGAAUUGGUUCAGUUAACGACAUCGACAACAAUAAGAUUCCAGUAUCAGGUUCUGUACCAAUUUCAGGGAGAGCUCUCCUCACUUCUAUAAAAAAAAUCGUCAUCUAUGCCACUAGAUAGCGCUCCUAGACUAGCUGUUUCAAGAAGCGCCAUUGUCUCACCUCUAUCGUCCUCAAUUACGGGAAAACCCGUAACUCAGAAAUGCAGGUCUGGACCCGGCCUCCUCGCUUCUAACGAUACUAGCACCGCCAAGCAGACAACGAUUAAUGUUCCAGAGUUGAGCUCCAGUUUAACCAUUCCUAUGUCAUUCUCGACCCCAUAUUGCCCUCAUUCACAUGACGACGAAAGUUCCACUCCUUAUCUUCCAUAUCCGAGUCAUUUAGACUUAGGAACUCUGGAGUCGAGAAUAGAUACUCUUAGUAGGCAUGUUCAAAAUUUAGAGGAUCAUGUCACGAAUAAUAUGCAGAUAAUAAUGCAGCAUCUGUCACAGCUUCUCCAAACUUCUGCUAUUUCUUACACAGCAGCACCAUCAGUUGGCAGUACUAAUUUUCGGCCUGUUGAAGAAGUGAAGACCUCUCAAUUUAUACCAAAACAGAUAUCUUUCAA